CAUGCAAGUCGAACGAGAAUCUACUGAAGGAGGAUUCGUCCAACGGAAGUAGAGGAAAGUGGCGGACGGGUGAGUAACGCGUGAGGAACCUGCCUUGAAGAGGGGGACAACAGUUGGAAACGACUGCUAAUACCGCAUGAUGCAUAGGGGUCGCAUGAUCUUUAUGCCAAAGAUUUAUCGCUUCAAGAUGGCCUCGCGUCUGAUUAGCUGGUUGGCGGGGUAACGGCCCACCAAGGCGACGAUCAGUAGCCGGACUGAGAGGUUGAACGGCCACAUUGGGACUGAGAUACGGCCCAGACUCCUACGGGAGGCAGCAGUGGGGAAUAUUGGGCAAUGGGCGCAAGCCUGACCCAGCAACGCCGCGUGAAGGAAGAAGGCUUUCGGGUUGUAAACUUCUUUUAAGAGGGAAGAGCAGAAGACGGUACCUCUAGAAUAAGCCACGGCUAACUACGUGCCAGCAGCCGCGGUAAUACGUAGGUGGCAAGCGUUGUCCGGAUUUACUGGGUGUAAAGGGCGUGCAGCCGGGUCUGCAAGUCAGAUGUGAAAUCCAUGGGCUCAACCCAUGAACUGCAUUUGAAACUGUAGAUCUUGAGUGUCGGAGGGGCAAUCGGAAUUCCUAGUGUAGCGGUGAAAUGCGUAGAUAUUAGGAGGAACACCAGUGGCGAAGGCGGAUUGCUGGACGAUAACUGACGGUGAGGCGCGAAAGUGUGGGGAGCAAACAGGAUUAGAUACCCUGGUAGUCCACACUGUAAACGAUGAAUACUAGGUGUGCGGGGACUGACCCCCUGCGUGCCGCAGUAAACACAAUAAGUAUUCCACCUGGGGAGUACGAUCGCAAGGUUGAAACUCAAAGGAAUUGACGGGGG
rnacentral:rRNA from 1 species